UGCAUUUAACAAGAAAUUUCAUAAAUGAUCAUCAGGGCUGAUGUGAAAUCUAAUCCAGAUCAGUCCAGGUCAGAAUUAUCAUCUCAUCUGUCUCAUGAUCAGCAGCAGCUGGAUGUUUAUGGCCACAAAAUUUCAAGUGAAGCACACUCGUCUUUUGACAUUUUAUUUCUUGUGUUUGCUCACGAUCCAUAUUUCCUUUUAGAAAAUGUCUCUCCUCCAUGGAUGUGCCUGCCUGUCAGAGCGUUUAACCACUGGUUGGUCAGCUGAUGCUGCUUUCAGUCAUUGCGGGAAUGUGUACGGUGUGGGGAAACAGUUUUAAUUUCUCUCCUCUGCCUGAGCUGAUGGUGACGUGCGGCGCGCCUCGUGGCAGCGAUGCACCUUUUUGUCAUGAGCCAGGGUGAGUACUCGUCUCAUCAUCUCACUACCCCUGAGUGUUUUGGUUUCAGGAGAGGGAGCAACAGCUGUUUCCAAUCAGCUGAUCAGCAGGCCGGUUUAUAAGGAGGAAGGUGGACAUGACUCGACGCCGGAUGAUUAACUACUGACUGGUCUGGAUAAUCAUCAGAGUUUUCCCUGACACCGUUUUGGAUUUUUAUCUGGUUCGUUUCCUGGUUCACCCUCCUCCAAGUGCCGACCCGAUCUCCUCCACCUCUCGCUCCGUCUCCAGAAGCACACCGGUCCGGAUCCCAUUCCUCAUUCACCUCUACCGCUCUACAUUCAUUACCUGGACUUACCCCGGCUCACCCCUCCCACACGCUUCUCGUCUAUCUAAGCCACGCUGCUUCCCGUUUCUGCACCCGCUGGAUUUUCCAGUGCACCCUUAGUUCACCGUUUCGUCAAUAAAUAUAUUUUUUUUAAUACAAUCUGACUCUGACUCUGAUUCUGCAUGUCCUGGGUUAUACUCUUGCCCCACAACAUGACACUUUUGCGCAAAAUGCGGCCCUUCAUGGAGCUCGUGCCAGACUGUGGAUGACUGAUGUUAGAGGACACACAGAUAUCUUUUCAAAAAUCUCUGUGAUUUCGACUAAUGAAUACCUGGAAAUUUUACCAGCUUGCAUUGUACCCUAGAAAAAGUACUGACAUGCUGAAAGGUUAUAUUUAGAAGUGGCAGCGGUGCUGGUACUGGUCCAAUGCACUGGUCUCUGUCCCUAAAGAAUA